rnacentral:pre_miRNA from 1 species
UGUGUGUGUGUGUGUGUGUGUGUGUGUGUGUGUGUGUGUGUGUGUGUGUGUGCGCGCGCAUGCACGCACGCACACUC